rnacentral:rRNA from 1 species
GUCCGCAACGAGCGCACCCCUAUUGUUAGUUGCCAUCAUUCAGUUGGGCACUCUAGCGAGACUGCCGGUAAUAAACCGGAGGAAGGUGGGGAUGACGUCAAAUCAUCAUGCCCCUUAUGACCUGGGCUACACACGUGCUACAAUGGUUGGUACAACGAGUUGCGAGUCGGUGACGGCGAGCUAAUCUCUUAAAGCCAAUCUCAGUUCGGAUUGUAGGCUGCAACUCGCCUACAUGAAGUCGGAAUCGCUAGUAAUCGCGGAUCAGCACGCCGCGGUGAAUACGUUCCCGGGCCUU